GCCACAGCCACAUCACCCUGCAGACCAAGAGCGGUCCCUCACUGAAGCUGAGCAGGGCUGAGCCGGGUCAGUGUCUGGAUGUGAGAGCACAUGGGAACACUAGGCUGCUGUUGGCA
ensembl:rRNA 5S_rRNA 5S ribosomal RNA